GAUGAACGCUGGCGGCGUGCCUAAUACAUGCAAGUCGAGCGAACGGACGAGAAGCUUGCUUCUCUGAUGUUAGCGGCGGACGGGUGAGUAACACGUGGAUAACCUACCUAUAAGACUGGGAUAACUUCGGGAAACCGGAGCUAAUACCGGAUAAUAUUUUGAACCGCAUGGUUCAAAAGUGAAAGACGGUCUUGCUGUCACUUAUAGAUGGAUCCGGGCUGCAUUAGCUAGUUGGUAAGGUAACGGCUUAUCAAGGCAACGAUGCAUAGCCGACCGGAGAGGGUUGUCGGCCACCCUAGAACUGAGACACGGUCCAGACUCCUACGGGAGGCAGCAGUAGGGAAUCUUCCGCAAUGGGCGAAAGCCUGACGGAGCAACGCCGCGUGAGUGAUGAAGGUCUUCGGAUCGUAAAACUCUGUUAUUAGGGAAGAACAUAUGUGUAAGUAACUGUGCACAUCUUGACGGUACCUAAUCAGAAAGCCACGGCUAACUACGUG
rnacentral:rRNA from 1 species